AGAGCAGUACUAAGAAGCUUAAAUGGAAGACUGCUGUAGGGAUUGGAGCUCAGUUUCUCCUGAUGUUUGUCAUUGCAUUGUGCCAUCGAUUUUGGGUGAUACCGUUAUUCAAUGGAGAAAAGAACCUGACAGCAAAAGCUCUGAUCGCAUUAACCCCGCCCAUUCUUGCUUUCGUCGCAACCUCCAUCAGCCAAUACCUCGUGCUGGCUUGUUCGACCCCAGGGCUCGUUGACCGAAAUCGAAUGUACGUGCUUGUUUACUUCAACCAGUUACUACCCCUCGCCCUGUUCCGUGUUAUGCAGGCCGACUUCGAUAACUGGGGAUUGUUUGUGGGGCUGUCAUGCAUUUACAGCAUGACAAACUUCUUCUCUGAAGUAACACGUGAACAUCGGAAAACGUACUGGAGAGCAAAACUGGGCAAUGAACGGUCACUUUUGUUUGACAAGCGUGAGAGUGAGAUACUGCAGGUCAAUUUGCAGAUACAGCAUUUUCCCUACCAUUACGCCAUGAUCAUCCUCAGUCAAAUCUACAUCACUCUGUACCGAUAUAGCACGUUUGAUGUUCCCUUUCCAGAAGAAAUGCAUCGAAUGCUUGGUCGCAUUGCAGUUGGCUUAGUGAUCGAGCUGUACUUAAACAUCCCCUCAGUUUUGCUGCAAAUUCGUUUCUGCGACAGUAAAAUGAAAGAGGUUUUGUUCAAAUGUUUCUUCCACCAUGUGAUAGCCCAUGGAGUUGUCGUCGUUAUCACAAUAUGUUAUUUCUCACAAGUCCUUUUCAGCGUACUGCAAGUGCCAAUAGAUGGCGCCUUGGCCGGGUAUCGUGUCAGAAAUUGCUCAUUGCCUUUUACAUACGAAUAAACAUGACAUUAUACAUAUUCAUGAAAUAAGAAAUAUUAUUUGUAUAUAUUUUUAAUUUACGUUUCUGUAUGAUUGUAUAGUUUGUAUAUUAACAAGUAUACGAUAUAUAUGCCUGAUAUACAAUCGACUUGCAUUGCGCAAGCCAGAAUAAUCAAUGAAUACUUAUAAUUGUAAAGUAUACAUAAUUUUUUACGCAAUCAAUGCUCGUAUUGUAAACAACUUUUAACAGCACUGAUUGUAUUUCCGAAUUCAACUUUUAUUACAAUAUAAUCAAAACAGUUUAACUUUCUUAGUUUCUUGUAACCAACAGACUAUGGAGUUGAUAUUUAUCAUACUGUACUUUUAGUUCUGUAUAUAUUGAUCUAACCAUUAAAAUAUUGUAUAAUGGAACUCAUCAUAAUAUAUCGCCUGAGUCAUAUAGUUUGGAAAGUGG
rnacentral:lncRNA from 1 species